rnacentral:rRNA from 1 species
UACGUAGGGUGCAAGCGUUGUCCGGAAUUAUUGGGCGUAAAGAGCUCGUAGGCGGUCUGUCGCGUCUGCUGGGAAAACUCGGGGCUUAACCCCGGGCCUGCAGUGGGUACGGGCAGACUAGAGUGCGGUAGGGGAGACUGGAAUUCCUGGUGUAGCGGUGAAAUGCGCAGAUAUCAGGAGGAACACCGGUGGCGAAGGCGGGUCUCUGGGCCGUAACUGACGCUGAGGCGCGAAAGCGUGGGGAGCGAACAGG